UACGAGGGGUGCAAGCGUUGCUCGGAAUUAUUGGGCGUAAAGGGUAGGUAGGUGGUCUCAUUUGUCUGGGGUGAAAGCCUCGAGCUUAACUCGAGAAGUGCCCCGGAAACGGUGAGACUAGAGUCUUGGAGAGGGUCGUGGAAUUCCCGGUGUAGCGGUGAAAUGCGUAGAGAUCGGGAGGAACACCAGAGGCGAAGGCGGGCUACUGGGCCGAUACUGACGCUGAUGCGCGAAAGCCAGGGGAGCGAACGGG
rnacentral:rRNA from 1 species